rnacentral:rRNA from 1 species
GGCCUUGACAUACUAAGAACUUUCCAGAGAUGGAUUGGUGCCUUCGGGAACUUAGAUACAGGUGCUGCAUGGCUGUCGUCAGCUCGUGUCGUGAGAUGUUGGGUUAAGUCCGCAACGAGCGCAACCCUUUUCCUUAUUUGCCAGCGGGUCAUGCCGGGAACUUUAAGGAUACUGCCAGUGACAAACUGGAGGAAGGCGGGGACGACGUCAAGUCAUCAUGGCCCUUACGGCCAGGGCUACACACGUGCUACAAUGGUCGGUACAAAGGGUUGCUACCUCGCGAGAGGAUGCUAAUCUCAAAAAGCCGAUCGUAGUCCGGAUCGCAGUUUGCAACUCGACUGCGUGAAGUCGGAAUCGCUAGUAAUCGCGGAUCAGAAUGCCGCGGUGAAUACGUUCCCGGGCCUUGUACACACCGCCCGUCACACCAUGGGAGUUUGUUGCACCAGAAGUAGGUAGUCUAACCGCAAGGAGGACGCUUACCACGGUGUGGCCGAUGACUGGGGUGAAGUCGUAACAAGGUAGGCGUAGAUGA